UCCGAAGGGGGCUAGCGUUGCUCGGAAUCACUGGGCGUAAAGCGCACGUAGGCGGCUUGUUAAGUCAGGGGUGAAAUCCUGGAGCUCAACUCCAGAACUGCCUUUGAUACUGGCGAGCUUGAGUUCGGGAGAGGUGAGUGGAACUGCGAGUGUAGAGGUGAAAUUCGUAGAUAUUCGCAAGAACACCAGUGGCGAAGGCGGCUCACUGGCCCGAUACUGACGCUGAGGUGCGAAAGCGUGGGGAGCAAACAGG
rnacentral:rRNA from 1 species